rnacentral:rRNA from 1 species
GCAAGUCGAGCGGACAGAAGGGAGCUUGCUCCCGGAUGUUAGCGGCGGACGGGUGAGUAACACGUGGGUAACCUGCCUGUAAGACUGGGAUAACUCCGGGAAACCGGAGCUAAUACCGGAUAGUUCCUUGAACCGCAUGGUUCAAGGAUGAAAGACGGUUUCGGCUGUCACUUACAGAUGGACCCGCGGCGCAUUAGCUAGUUGGUGGGGUAAUGGCUCACCAAGGCGACGAUGCGUAGCCGACCUGAGAGGGGUAUCGGGCCACACUGGGACUGAGACACGGCCCAGACUCCUACGGGAGGCAGCAGUAGGGAAUCUUCCGCAAUGGACGAAAGUCUGACGGAGCAACGCCGCGUGAGUGAUGAAGGUUUUCGGAUCGUAAAGCUCUGUUGUUAGGGAAGAACAAGUGCGAGAGUAACUGCUCGCACCUUGACGGUACCUAACCAGAAAGCCACGGCUAACUACGUGCCAGCAGCCGCGGUAAUACGUAGGUGGCAAGCGUUGUCCGGAAUUAUUGGGCGUAAAGGGCUCGCAGGCGGUUUCUUAAGUCUGAUGUGAAAGCCCCCGGCUCAACCGGGGAGGGUCAUUGGAAACUGGGAAACUUGAGUGCAGAAGAGAGAGUGGAAUUCCACGUGUAGCGGUGAAAUGCGUAGAGAUGUGGAGGAACACCAGUGGCGAAAGCGACUCUCUGGUCUGUAACUGACGCUGAGAGCGAAAGCGUGGGGGAGCGAACAGGAUUAGAUACCCUGGGUAGUCCACGCCGUAAACGAUGAGUGCUAAGUGUUAAGGGGGUUUCCGCCCCCUUAGUGCUGCAGCUAACGCAUUAAGCACCUCCGCCUGGGGGAGUACGGUCGCAAGACUGAAAGCUCAAAGAAUUGACGGGGCCCGCACAGCGGUGAGCAUGUGGUUUAAUUCGAAGCAACGCGA